rnacentral:rRNA from 1 species
GCCUGGGGAGUACGGCCGCAAGGUUAAAACUCAAAUGAAUUGACGGGGGCCCGCACAAGCGGUGGAGCAUGUGGUUUAAUUCGAUGCAACGCGAAGAACCUUACCUACUCUUGACAUCCAGAGAACUUUCCAGAGAUGGAUUGGUGCCUUCGGGAACUCUGAGACAGGUGCUGCAUGGCUGUCGUCAGCUCGUGUUGUGAAAUGUUGGGUUAAGUCCCGCAACGAGCGCAACCCUUAUCCUUUGUUGCCAGCGGUUCGGCCGGGAACU